rnacentral:misc_RNA from 1 species
GAUGAAGAACGCAGCGAAAUGCGAUAAGUAAUGUGAAUUGCAGAAUUCAGUGAAUCAUCGAAUCUUUGAACGCACAUUGCGCCCGCCAGCAUUCUGGCGGGCAUGCCUGUUCGAGCGUCAUUUCAACCCUCGAGCCCCCCCGGGGGCCUCGGUGUUGGGGGACGGCACACCAGCCGCCCCCGAAAUGCAGUGGCGACCCCGCCGCAGCCUCCCCUGCGUAGUAGCACACACCUCGCACCGGAGCGCGGAGGCGGUCACGCCGUAAAACGCCCAACUUUCUUAGAGUUGACCUCGGAUCUGGUAGGAAUACCCGCUGAACUUAAGCAUAUCAAUAAGCGGAGGA